rnacentral:lncRNA from 1 species
UGCCAAUUGGUACUAACAACUCAUGUGUCUGCCUUGAGGACUGUGUGUGUUGUUUUGCUGCAUGUGGGAAUCUUCCCAGACCUUUGACACCAUAGCGGGGUGCCCUUGCAUGGUGACCAAGAUGGAAGGACUGAGGUUUUGAAAUGCAACCUACCUUGAAUAUAGAGCCAUCUGGGUGCAAACCACUGUUCUCCUAGCCUUCUGGACAAACAAGCCUGUUUAAAGGUGAGUUGUAGGUUGUGAUAAAUGAUUUGUUUGAACCACAUUUCCCAGAGCAAACAAUUUUCCCAGGCCAUGUGAUGGGAGCCCAUUCUUUCUGAAUCUUUCAGCAUUCAAGUUCCCAUCAUUUCCUUGGAUGUCACAAGCCAGCAUACUCCAUCAAAUAAGAGAAACUUAAAGCUCUCCGUGGUCUUAAUUUCUUU